GAUGAACGCUGGCGGCGUGCCUAAUACAUGCAAGUCUAGCGAACAGACGAGGAGCUUGCUCCUCUGACGUUAGCGGCGGACGGGUGAGUAACACGUGGAUAACCUAUCUAUAAGACUGGGAUAACUUCGGGAAACCGGAGCUAAUACCGGAUAAUAUAUUGAACCGCAUGGUUCAAUAGUGAAAGACGGUUUUGCUGUCACUUAUAGAUGGAUCCGCGCCGCAUUAGCUAGUUGGUAAGGUAACGGCUUACCAAGGCAACGAUGCGUAGCCGACCUGAGAGGGUGAUCGGCCACACUGGAACUGAGACACGGUCCAGACUCCUACGGGAGGCAGCAGUAGGGAAUCUUCCGCAAUGGGCGAAAGCUUGACGGAGCAACGCCGCGUGAGUGAUGAAGGUCUUCGGAUCGUAAAACUCUGUUAUUAGGGAAGAACAAAUGUGUAAGUAACUAUGCACGUCUUGACGGUACCUAAUCAGAAAGCCACGGCUAACUACGUG
rnacentral:rRNA from 1 species